AUUGAACGCUGGCGGCAUGCCUUACACAUGCAACUCGAACGGCAGCACGGGUGCUUGCACCUGGUGGCGAGUGGCGAACGGGUGAGUAAUACAUCGGAACAUGUCCUGUAGUGGGGGAUAGCCCGGCGAAAGCCGGAUUAAUACCGCAUACGAUCUACGGAUGAAAGCGGGGGAUCUUCGGGCCUCGCGCUAUAGGGUUGGCCGAUGGCUGAUUAGCUAGUUGGUGGGGUAAAGGCCUACCAAGGCGACGAUCAGUAGCUGGUCUGAGAGGACGACCAGCCACACUGGGACUGAGACACGGCCCAGACUCCUACGGGAGGCAGCAGUGGGGAAUUUUGGACAAUGGGCGCAAGCCUGCUCCAGCAAUGCCGCGUGUGUGAAGAAGGCCUUCGGGUUGUAAAGCACUUUUGUCCGGAAAGAAAUCCUUGGCCCUAAUACGGUCGGGGGAUGACGGUACCGGAAGAAUAAGCACCGGCUAACUACGUG
rnacentral:rRNA from 1 species